AUGACAGCACACGCUCUCAUUAUCUGCUCUCUACUGCUUUUCAUUGCUGAGUGUAAUGGACAGAUCACAGUUACUCAGAAUCCCUCAACAACAGCAGCUCAACCAGGACAACAAGUUAAAAUAAACUGUAAAACCAGCAGUGAUGUCUACCGGCACAGUAGUGUGGGAUACCUCUUGAGCUGGUACUUACAGAAACCUGGAGAAGCUCCUAAACUCCUCAUAUAUUAUACAAACCGCAUGCAGUCUGGAACUCCAUCUAGAUUCAGUGGCAGUGGAUCUAAUAGUGAUUUCACUCUGACCAUCAGUGGAGUCCAGACUGAAGAUGCAGGACAUUAUUACUGUCAGAGUUAUCACAGUGGUGAUGUGUUCACACAGUGA